rnacentral:rRNA from 1 species
GUCCACGCUGUAAACGAUGGGCACUAGGUGUCGCGGGUAUUGACCCCUGCGGUGCCGCAGCUAACGCACUAAGUGCCCCGCCUGGGGACUACGGCCGCAAGGUUAAAACUCAAAGGAAUUGACGGGGGCCCCGCACAAGCGGUGGAGCAUGUGGUUCAAUUCGACGCAACGCGAAGAACCUUACCCGGGCUAGACAACAGAGGACAUCCUUAGAAAUAAGGCCUUCCCUUCGGGGACCUCUGGUUCAGGUGCUGCAUGGCUGUCGU